rnacentral:rRNA from 1 species
UACGGAGGAUGCGAGCGUUAUCCGGAUUUAUUGGGUUUAAAGGGAGCGUAGACGGCGAUGCAAGCCAGAUGUGAAAGCCCGGGGCUCAACCCCGGGAGUGCAUUUGAAACUGUCCAGCUGGAGUGCAGGAGAGGUAAGCGGAAUUCCUAGUGUAGCGGUGAAAUGCAUAGAUAUUAGGAGGAACACCAGUGGCGAAGGCGGCUUACUGGACUGUAACUGACGUUGAGGCUCGAAAGCGUGGGGAGCAAACAGG